rnacentral:rRNA from 1 species
AAUAUUGGACAAUGGGGCAACCGUGAUCCAGCCAUGCCCCGUGUGUUAAGAAGGUCUUGGGAUUUUAAAGCACUUUAAGGUGGGGGGACGGGCUUUAGGUUAAUUCCUUGAAUUUUUGACGGUUCCGAUCGAAUAACCACCGGCUAAUUCUGUUCCUGCAGCCGCGGUAAUACAGAGGGGUCAAGCGUUAAACGGAAUUACUGGGCGUAAAGCGCGCGUAGGUGGUUCAGUAAGAUGGGUGUGAAAUCCCCGGGCUUAACCUGGGAACUGCCUUCAUAACUGCUGAGCUAGAGUACGGUAGAGGGUAGUGGAAUUUCCUGUGUAGCGGUGAAAUGCGUAGAUAUAGGAAGGAAAACCAGUGGCGAAGGCGACUACCUGGACUGAUACUGACACUGAGGUGCGAAAGCGUGGGGAGCAAACA